CAGGAGAAUCAUUUUAACCCGGGAGGUGGAGGUUGCAGUUAGCUGAGAUCGCACCAUUGCACUCCAGCGUGGGCAACAGGAGUGAAACUCUGUCUCAAAAAAAAAAAAGAAAGAAAUUUAGGGAACUGGAGAGAGAAAAUUAUGUUUCAAAGGAAAACUGUAGAACAUCUGUUAUUAGAUUCUAGCCUUGUUCAUUGUUUUUGAGUUUUUAUCAUUUGCCUGCAACUUGUACUGGAUCCUGAAUUCUUUCCUGGCUACAAGUCUCCAAACUAAUGUUUUCAAAUUUUUAUUUAAUUUUUUUCUGACUUGGAAUUACUAGAAAUGUGUUGACAAACAACAACAACAACAAAACUUUAUAAAAUAUUUAAAGAGGCUUAUCCUGACCCAAUAUGAGUGACCACAGCCCAGAGAACAGUCUCAAGAAAUUCUGAGAAAGUGUGCCCAAGGCUGUCAGGUUAUAGUUUUGUUUUAUACAUUUUAGGGAGACAGAAGUUACAGGCAAAAACAUAAGUCAAUGCAUAUAAGGUGUACAUUGGAGAUGUCCCGGAAAGGUGGGACAUCUCAAAGCAAGUGCUUACAGGUCACAGGUGGAUUCAAAGAUUUUCUGAUUGGCCAAGGUUUUGUUAUAUAGAUGAAGUCUCCAUAUAACAAUCUUUAGAGGGAAUAGAUGACAAAUAUCUCUUUUCAGAACUUAAAAGGUGUCAGAAAGUUAGUUAAUCUUUCCUAGGUCCAGGAAAGUCCUGACUGUAUUAACAGAGAUUCUCUACAGAUGUAAAUUUCCCCCACAAAAGCUGGCUUUGCAGGGCCAUUUAAAAAUAUGGCAGAGAAAUAUAUUUUGGGGUAAAAUAUUUUGAUUUCCUUCAGGAUCGGCUGUCAUGUGAUGCUAUGUUUGAGUCAGGUUGGAAUCUGGUUAUCUUCUUGCCACAAAGAGUCUAUUCUGUCAAUCUUAUGAUCUCUAUUUUAAUCUUAAUGCUGGUCAGUCUUGCCUAAACUCCAAAAGGGAAGGGGCAUAAUGAGGCAUGUCUGACCUCCCUUCCCAUCAUGGCCUGAAAUUUAGUUUUAUAGGUUUCUUUGGGAUCCCCCCCUGGCCAAGAGGGGGUGUGUUCAGUUGGUUGGGGGGCAUAGGAUAUUAUUUUCAAUUUAUAAAUUAAAACUGUGUUUUUCUUAAAGUCCUUAAAAUCAAAGCUAGACAACUUUAAUAAACUUUGAGAGAAAUAACAUCAACUUAUAUAUAAACAGACUUCAUGCCUGCUGAGGU
rnacentral:lncRNA from 1 species